GAUGAACGCUGGCGGCGUGCCUAAUACAUGCAAGUCGAGCGAACGGACGAGAAGCUUGCUUCUCUGAUGUUAGCGGCGGACGGGUGAGUAACACGUGGACAACCUACCUAUAAGACUGGGAUAACUUCGGGAAACCGGAGCUAAUACCGUAUAAUCUUUUGCACCGCAUGGUUCAAAAGUGAAAGACGGUCUUGCUGUCACUUAUAGAUGGAUCCGCGCUGCAUUAGCUAGUUGGUAAGGUAACGGCUUACCAAGGCAACGAUGCAUAACCGACCUGAGAGGGGGAUCGGCCACACUGGAACUGAGACACGGUCCAGACGACUACGGGAGGCAGCAGUAGGGAAUCUGCCGCAAUGGGCGAAAGCAUGACGGAGCAACGCCGCGUGAGUGAUGAAGGUCUUCGGAGCGUAAAACUCUGUUAUGAGGGAAGAACAUAUGUGUAAGUAACUGUGCACAUCUUGACGGUACCUAAUCAGAAAGCCACGGCUAACUACGUG
rnacentral:rRNA from 1 species